AGAGUUUGAUCCUGGCUCAGGACGAACGCUGGCGGCGUGCCUCACACAUGCAAGUCGAACGGGGAUAUAUUGAAAGCUUGCUUUUGAUAUAUCCUAGUGGCGAACGGGUGAGUAACACGUGAGCAACCUGCCCGACAAACCGGGAUAACAGCGGGAAACUGCUGCUAAUACCGGAUACACCAGGUAUGGCGCAUGCUGUAUCUGGGAAAGGGUUUACCGAUGUCGGAUGGGCUCGCGUCCCAUUAGCUAGUUGGUGAGGUAACGGCUCACCAAGGCGACGAUGGGUAGCUGGUCUGAGAGGACGAUCAGCCACACUGGAACUGAGACACGGUCCAGACUCCUACGGGAGGCAGCAGUGGGGAAUCUUGCACAAUGGGCGAAAGCCUGAUGCAGCGACGCCGCGUGGAGGAUGAAGGCCUUCGGGUCGUAAACUCCUGUCUGGGGGGAUGAACACUGACAGUACCCCCGGAGGAAGCCCCGGCUAACUACGUGCCAGCAGCCGCGGUAAUACGUAGGGGGCGAGCGUUGUCCGGAAUUACUGGGCGUAAAGCGCGCGCAGGCGGCCUAUUAAGUCAGGUGUUAAAAUGCGGAGCUUAACUCCGUAUCGCACUUGAAACUGGUAGGCUUGAGUGCAGGAGAGGGAAGUGGAAUUCCCAGUGUAGCGGUGAAAUGCGUAGAUAUUGGGAGGAACACCAGUGGCGAAGGCGACUUCCUGGACUGUAACUGACGCUCAGGCGCGAAAGCUAGGGGAGCAAACAGGAUUAGAUACCCUGGUAGUCCUAGCCGUAAACGAUGGGUACUAGGUGUUGGGGGUUUCAAUCCUCCAGUGCCGCAGUUAACGCAUUAAGUACCCCGCCUGGGGAGUACGGCCGCAAGGCUGAAACUCAAAUGAAUUGACGG
rnacentral:rRNA from 1 species